AUUGAACGCUGGCGGCAGGCCUAACACAUGCAAGUCGAGCGAGCGGCGGACGGGUGAGUAAUGUAUGGGGACUGCCCGAUAGAGGGGGAUAAGAACUGGAAACGGUGGCUAAUACAGCAUACUGUGGGAUAACCCAUAGGGGAUUAGCUAGUAGGUAAGGGAAUGGCUUACCUAGGCGACGAUCCCUAGUUGGUCUGGGAGGUUGAUCAGCCACACUGGAACUGAGACACGGCCCAGACCCCUACGGAGGCAGCGGUGGGGAAUAUUGCACAAUGGGCGCAAGCCUGAUGCAGCCAUGCCGCGUAUAUGAAGAAGGCCCUAGGGUUGUAGAGUACUUUCAGUCGGGAGGCGUUACCGACUGAAGAAGCACCGGCUAACUCCGUGCCAGCAGCCGCGGUAAUAC
rnacentral:rRNA from 1 species